GACCGCGAUAUAUCUAUAUGCCGUGCGGUUUCCCACCCUUGACUGAGCGUGAUUCGAAUCUCGCAAGGGAGCGGACCCUAUGAAAACCCAGCAACGGCGCCUUUUAACGGUCCUGGCCUUUUGCUGAUUUGGCAAGCGAAGAGAUUAGUCCACACCGUAAACGAUGGAUACUAGGUGUAGGGUGUGAUAAACAUUCUGUGCCGUCGCAAACGCAGUAAGUAUCCCACCUGGGGAGUACGGCCGCAAGGUUGAAACUCAAAGGAAUUGACGGGGGCCCGCACAAGCAGUGGAGUAUGUGGUUUAAUUCGAAGCAACGCGAAGAACCUUACCAGGGCUUGACAUAUACAGGAAUAUUUAAGAGAUUAGAUAGUUCUUCGGAACCUGUAUACAGGUGGUGCAUGGUUGUCGUCAGCUCGUGUCGUGAGAUGUUAGGUUAAGUCCUGCAACGAGCGCAACCCCUAUACUUAGUUGCCAGCAUGUAAAGAUGGGAACUCUAGGUAGACUGCCGGUGAUAAAUCGGAGGAAGGUGGGGACGACGUCAAAUCAUCAUGCCCUUUAUGUCCUGGGCUACACACGUACUACAAUGGCUAUUACAAAGGGAAGCAAUACAGUGAUGUGGAGCAAAACCCAAAAAAGUAGUCUCAGUUCGGAUUGAAGUCUGAAAUUCGACUUCAUGAAGCCGGAAUUGCUAGUAAUGGCAGGUCAGCAUACUGCCGUGAAUACGUUCCCGGGCCUUGUACACACCGCCCGUCACACCAUGAGAGUUGGGAAUACCCGAAGCCUGUGAGCCAACAGUUAAACGAGGCAGCAGUCGAAGGUAGAAUCAAUGAUUGGGGUGAAGUCGUAACAAGGUAAAUCCCCCC
rnacentral:rRNA from 1 species